UACGAAGGGGGCUAGCGUUGCUCGGAAUCACUGGGCGUAAAGCGCACGUAGGCGGAUUGUUAAGUCAGGGGUGAAAUCCUGGAGCUCAACUCCAGAACUGCCUUUGAUACUGGCGAUCUUGAGUCCGGGAGAGGUGAGUGGAACUGCGAGUGUAGAGGUGAAAUUCGUAGAUAUUCCCAAGAACACCAGUGGCGAAGGCGGCUCACUGGCCCGGUACUGACGCUGAGGUGCGAAAGCGUGGGGAGCAAACAGG
rnacentral:rRNA from 1 species